rnacentral:rRNA from 1 species
UGCCAGCAGCCGCGGUAAUACGAAGGGUGCAAGCGUUAAUCGGAUUUAUUGGGCGUAAAGGGCGCGUAGGCGGAUAUGUAAGUCAAAUGUGAAAUCCCUGGGCUCAACCUAGGAACUGCAUUUGAAACUGCAUGUCUUGAGGAUAGACGGAGAAAGUGGAAUUCCAUGUGUAGCGGUGGAAUGCGUAGAUAUGUGGAAGAAUACCAGUGGCGAAGGCGACUUUCUAGUUUAUACCUGACGCUGAGGCGCGAAAGCAAGGGGAGCAAACAGGAUUAGAUA